rnacentral:rRNA from 1 species
CCGUGCGCGMAGUGAAAGCGAACGGAGGUGGGAGCCCCCUCGAGGGGCGCACCAUCGACCGAUCCUGAAGUCUUCGGAUGGAUUUGAGUAGGAGCGUAGCUGUGGGGACCCGAAAGAUGGUGAACUAUGCCUGAAUAGGGUGAAGCCAGAGGAAACUCUGGUGGAGGCUCGCAGCGGUUCUGACGUGCAAAUCGAUCGUCAAAUUUGGGUAUAGGGGCGAAAGACUAAUCGAACCAUCUGGUAGCUGGUUCCUGCCGAAGUUUCCCUCAGGAUAGCAGUAACGCGAAAUCAGUUUUAUGAGGUAAAGCGAAUGAUUAGAGGCAUUGGGGUUGAAACAACCUUAACCUAUUCUCAAACUUUAAAUAUGUAAGAAGCCCUUGUUUCUUAAUUGAACGUGGGCAUUAGAAUGGAGCGUUACUAGUGG